rnacentral:rRNA from 1 species
ACGAAGGUGGCAAGCGUUAUUCGGAUUGACUGGGCUUAAAGGGCGCGUAGGCGGUUUGGAAAGUCAGGUGUGAAAUCUCCGGGCUUAACUCGGAAAGAGCGCUUGAGACUUCCAGACUUUGAGACAGGUAGGGGGUUGCGGAACUCACGGUGGAGCGGUGAAAUGCGUAGAGAUCGUGGGGAACACCGGUGGCGAAGGCGGCAACCUGGGCCUGUUCUGACGCUGAGGCGCGAAAGCAUGGGGAGCAAACAG